UUGCAAUCUGAAGCAGACAGGGAUGUGACGUUCCAACGAUUUGUUACUGAGGAGCCACUUAUUCAUAGGCAGAUGACUUGGAUUAAGUUGUCAAUACGCACUAGUGUUUAUUGUUUCAAUUGCCGAAUGUAACCUGGGACAGGGUAAAGUCCUCCGCUAAUAUGCUGAGCGUAGAGUUAACGGUGGGAUUUCCACACAGGGGUAAGGUAUCACUCUUUAAAAAGAGGAGUGGGACGUGAGUUAUCAAAAAUUACAUUAAAAUUACAAAAUUACAAUGGUCUGCAGACGCGUCGAGUUCCAAGAAUGAUUUGCGGAGGAGAAUGAACUAUUUUUAUAUCACAGACCAGUUUUGAGUAGUGUUUACUUCUGGCCUGUUCCAUCUGAUUUUGUUUGGUGCUACUUUUUUGCGAAAGAUAAAGAAAAUGAAAAGAUUUUGAAAUCACACUCUGAAGAUGUCCACAUUCUGCGUAGGAAGGGGAAGACUUUCCGUGAGAUCAGGGCUUAUCUUGCAUCCACUGGAGUCAAUGUGUCUAAACGGACUGUACAGAAACACUAUAAGGUGCGUGAGCCAAGGCGUGUACAGCCGAGAAAAAUGUUGAGGUAAGUCAAAUGUCUUUUUGUGGUAAUUAUACAACGAUGUUAAUGUAUGUUUAGCAUUGAAAACUGCUUUCAUUGACAUGCGUGCUCUUUGUCUUUCUAGCGAUGUUAUGGCUGUCAUAGGUGACCUUACUAAGAAGAAUACAGAGUUAGUGGCCAGAGGUUUGCAAAAGAUUCUGCAAUCAGAUUAUGAAGUGAACGUCAGCUGGACCUCCAUACGCUAUGCCCGCAGAAGGUUGGGAUGAAGUUCACCAAAACAGAGUUUUGUCCGAUGAUACGCAAACACAAUAAAGUCUUUUUCUUAUACUCCUGACAGAAAAAAAUCUUUUACUUCACUGCUUUUAAAUGCUCUUCUUAUGGACGUUCACAUAAAAUCUGUAAGAGGAUUUUAUUUAAAGAAGUCAUAUCAUACUUUUCAUUCUAAAAAAUAUUAGACUUCAAUGUCUCAGUAAGGUCUCUGUAAAUUUUCAUCCCAUAAAACCCUUUAGAUCGUCCACACUGCCCCUGUCAAUAUGUGGUUCUCACUCCCCAUCAGCAAUCGCUGUGUUUUCUGGGCGUGUCGCAAGCGAAGCUGCUCACCACACCUCUGUGCGGAAGCGCAUACCUUUUUUGUUGUUUUUUUUUUUUUUUUUUUAAUUGGCUACAUGGAUACGAGCCACCGCACGGUUAGGAUACAAUAGGUGGCAGUAGUGCGAAAUUGAGAACGCAAUCCACCGCAAUCCUCUACAGAAGAAGACGACCCACUACAGGACUGCACGACAUUAGCCAGCUGAUUCGUAGCGUUGUAGAACCAUACGUCUACGAUCCCGAAUCUGACCCUGAAGCUGAAGAGGAGGCUGUUGAAGUCGCCACAUUUCGGCUGAUGCAAGAUGUGUCUCAAUGUUGUUACAGGUAUCUAGUCUACAGAGGCUAGUGAGCUGGUGCUGAGGAUUCCUGGGGUGAAGAAUCUGAGUUGCCAUCUCUUCAUGCUUCUUCAUGCUUGGGUUGUAGAUGAAGGCAGUUUCCUGAUGGAUAAAACACUAAAACACUCAUAGUAUGAUUGAUGUAGACCACCUGUAGAAUAACUCCUUUACCAUUUGAGUAAAAAUGUGUUUUUUGUGAGUGCAACACUCAUUAAGAAUUUUUUUAACUUUAUUUAUAUAUAAUUUAUAUGCGUUUUAUUUAUGGCCGCUUCAACUUUAAAGCUUACCAUAUUAGAAAGAGAAAAACAUAUAAUUUCAAUACUAUGAUUUCCUAAAUAAAAGUGUUUUCUCUUCAGAAA